rfam:Selaginella moellendorffii plastid, complete genome.
UAAAGCCGGAUGAAUUGAAAGAUUCGCGUGCGGUUUGGGGAGAGAUUAUCGAUCCGCGAGAUUCAGGGAUAAUCCACUUCCAU